AACAACCGAGAGAAAAGAGCUGUGCCGCUGAGAUCUGCUCCAGUAACAUUCCCACGAUAGCUUAUAAUCGUAGGAUAUAAUACAAAAUAGUUGUAUGCAACCCGCAUCAGCCGGUUUGCUCGGCUUUUCUGCACAAAAGGGCACUGACAUCUGGUGACAAUGGCCACGGCGGGAAAGAGGAAAGAGAGCCUGGGCCUCAGACUGCUGUCUCUGCAGCUCCACUGGAGGUGUGGCACCGCACCCCCCCCCCCCCCCACCGCCACCCGGCUCUACCCAGUGUCUCUGAUGUGGGAGGCUGCCAAAUUAGCCAGGAGAGCCUUGCGGCAGUGUGUCUCCUCUGCAAAUUAGAGGAGAGAGCGGAGGAAGACCAGAGAGAGGGCAAACACAGGACAGAGCGAGAGAGAGAUUGCAGGUUCAAAGAGCUAAUGACCUGCAUACGAGUCGUGCACAGGGAGUUGAGCGAGGAGUAGACAUGAUCUCAUCCCAUGUGCUUGUUAGUACCUGAUCAGACAAGGGAGUGACAUUUGGUAUACAAAAUAGUAUAUUGAAAGAUUGUUGACAACUAGCUUUGCUCACUUAACAGAUAAUAACAACAGUAAUUAUGUGCUUAUACUUCUUUCAUGUCCAUACUCCAGCAGAGCAGGUUUACGACUUACUUGGUGUGACAGACAAUAUGACAGCUCUGUCUUUGAGCCCUAAAGCUGUGGGUAUUUUCUAGGUUUUAUCAAAUAAUAAAAGUUGAUGCCAUGUCUUAAAAGAAAAUAAUCCUGGUGAUAUCUUAUAUUUUUUAUAUUGUCAACAAAUCCCACAAAAAUGCCCAAACCAAUAAUGUGUUAGUCUGUGUUUUAUUUGUUCUGAAAACCCUGUCUGUCUUUCAGAAAAUCCAUUAAGUUUCCUGAAAAAGCGAGGCAAUGUGGUUUCUAGCAAACAUUAGACAAAAAAUGUAAAUUGUGCACUAUUUACAGCAGUGGAUUCAUACAGAUGUAGUGCUAUAGUGUGGCAGUAUUUACAGCAGCAGGACAAUGUAUGUGAGAUAUAAUUAAAAUACACAACAUUGCCCAUGUUUAUCAUAGUGAAGGAAUUUUUCAAAAGUAUGUAUUUUAAAUAGUUGUUGGACAACAAUUAUGGGUAAAAGGCACACCUGUCCUUUUAAUAUUGAAAAUCUUAAGUUCAAAACUCCAAUUAGAAGCAGUUUUUAUUUCUUGACAAAUAAGGCAUGAAGCCGUAAAUGGCCGAUAAUAAUCAUGCAGGUUUGGCAUCAUCUUCGUGGAAAAUGGUUGUCAAAUAUUGUCUUUAAAACAGCUGCCAACAAGAAUUCUUAGAUGUUUCUUCAAGUAUCAUUAUUAAGAUGUGAUCGC